AUCCACUCCGUGUGUACACAUAGGAACAAGUAUUAUGGCAAAUUUUUCUGCUCUUUUUUUUUUAAAUUUCUAGAAUGUUGGCUGUGACCUUUUGGGUAAAAAGGGUAUCAAGGAUAAGUCUAACUGAAGUUUCUGGUAGAGACUUCAUGAAGAAUAGGGUCAGCUAUAGUCUACAUAAUUUUUAAAAGGUCAUUCUCUCCCACGUUUUUAGAAGAGGUGCAGACCUUGG
rnacentral:lncRNA from 1 species